AACGAACGCUGGCGGCAGGCUUAACACAUGCAAGUCGAGCGCCCCGCAAGGGGAGCGGCAGACGGGUGGGUAACGCGUGGGAACUUACCUUUUGGUUCGUAACAACUCCGGGAAACUGGAGCUAAUACCGGAUAAGCCCUAACGGGGAAAGAUUUAUCGCCGAACGAUCGGCCCGCGUCUGAUUAGCUAGUUGGUGAGGUAACGGCUCACCAAGGCGACGAUCAGUAGCUGGUCUGAGAGGAUGAGCAGACACACUGGGACUGAGACACGGCCCAGACUCCUACGGGAGGCAGCAGUGAGGAAUAUUGGAAAAUGGGCGCAAGCCUGAUCCAGCCAUGACGCGUGAGUGAUGAAGGCCUUAGGGUUGUAAAGCUCUUUUGUCCGGGAAGAUAAUGACUGUACCGGAAGAAUAAGCCCCGGCUAACUUCGUG
rnacentral:rRNA from 1 species